GACGAACGCUGGCGGCGUGCCUAAUACAUGGAAGUCGAACGCUUCUUUCCUCCCGAGUGCUUGCACUCCAUUGGAAAGAGGAGUGGCGGACGGGUGAGUAACACGUGGGUAACCUACCCAUCAGAGGGGGAUAACACUUGGAAACAGGUGCUAAUACCGCAUAACAGUUUAUGCCGCAUGGCAUAAGAGUGAAAGGCGCUUUCGGGUGUCGCUGAUGGAUGGACCCGCGGUGCAUUAGCUAGUUGGUGAGGUAACGGCUCACCAAGGCCACGAUGCAUAGCCGACCUGAGAGGGUGAUCGGCCACACUGGGACUGAGACACGGCCCAGACUCCUACGGGAGGCAGCAGUAGGGAAUCUUCGGCAAUGGACGAAAGUCUGACCGAGCAACGCCGCGUGAGUGAAGAAGGUUUUCGGAUCGUAAAACUCUGUUGUUAGAGAAGAACAAGGACGUUAGUAACUGAACGUCCCCUGACGGUAUCUAACCAGAAAGCCACGGCUAACUACGUG
rnacentral:rRNA from 1 species